GCGCGAAAACUUUACAAUGCUGGCAACAGCGAUAAGGGAACCUCGAGCGCCAGGUUACAAAUCUGGCUGUCGAGAUGCCUAAAAAGCAUUUCAUAGCAAGGGCCGGGCAAGACCGGUGCCAGCCGCCGCGGUAACACCGGCGGCUCGAGUGGUAACCGUUCUUAUUGGGUCUAAAGGGUCUGUAGCCGGCCUGAUAAGUCUCUUGAGAAAUCUGGCAGCUUAACUGUCAGGCUUUCAGGAGAUACUGUCUGGCUCGAGGCCGGGAGAGGUGAGAGGUACUUCAGGGGUAGGGGUGAAAUCUUGUAAUCCUUGAAGGACCACCAGUGGCGAAGGCGUCUCACCAGAACGGACCUGACGGCAAGGGACGAAAGCUAGGGGCACGAACC
rnacentral:rRNA from 1 species